GAUGAAGAACGCAGCGAAAUGCGAUAAGUAGUGUGAAUUGCAGAAUUCAGUGAAUCAUCGAAUCUUUGAACGCACAUUGCGCCCCUUGGUAUUCCGAGGGGCAUGCCUGUUCGAGCGUCAUUAUAACCCCUCAAGCUCAGCUUGGUAUUGGGGCCUGCCAUCCUGGCAGCCCUUAAAAUCAGUGGCGGUGCCAUCCGGCUCUAAGCGUAGUAACUCUUCUCGCUAUGGAGUCCUGGUGGAUGCUUGCCAUUAAUCUUUUAACUUCUAUGGUUGACCUCGGAUCAGGUAGGGAUACCCGCUGAACUUAAGCAUAUCAAUAAGCGGAGGA
rnacentral:misc_RNA from 1 species